GAUGAACGCUGGCGGCGUGCCUAAUACAUGCAAGUCGAGCGAACAGACGAGGAGCUUGCUCCUCUGACGUUAGCGGCGGGCGGGUGAGUAACGCGUGGAUAACCUACCUAUAAGACUGGGAUAACUUCGGGAAACCGGAGCUAAUACCGGAUAAUAUCUUGAACCGCAGGGUUGAAUAGUGAAAGACGGUUUUGCUGUCACUUAUAGAUGGAUCCGGGCCGUAUUAGCUAGUUGGUAAGGUAACGGCUUACCAAGGCGAGGAUGCGUAGCCGACCGGAGAGGGGGAUAGGCCACCCUGGAACGGGACCCGGGACCAGGCUACUAAGAGAGGGCGCAGUAGGGAAUGGUACGCAGUAGGGGGAAGCAUGGCGGAGCGACCGCGAGUGAGAGACGAAAGCCUUCCGUUCGUGAAACUCUGUUAUUAGGGAAGAACAAAUGUGUAAGUAACUAUGCACGGAGUGACGGUACCUAGUAAGAAAGCACCGGCUAACUACGUG
rnacentral:rRNA from 1 species